GACGAACGCUGGCGGCGUGCUUAACACAUGCAAGUCGAACGAUGAAGCCGGAGCUUGCUCUGGUGGCUUAGUGGCGAACGGGUGAGUAACACGUGAGUAACCUGCCCUUGACUCUGGGAUAAGCGUUGGAAACGACGUCUAAUACCGGAUACGAGCUAGGACCGCAUGGUCACUAGCUGGAAAGAACUUCGGUCAAGGAUGGACUCGCGGCCUAUCAGCUAGUUGGUGAGGUAACGGCUCACCAAGGCGACGACGGGUAGCCGGCCUGAGAGGGUGACCGGCCACACUGGGACUGAGACACGGCCCAGACUCCUACGGGAGGCAGCAGUGGGGAAUAUUGCACAAUGGGCGCAAGCCUGAUGCAGCAACGCCGCGUGAGGGACGACGGCCUUCGGGUUGUAAACCUCUUUUAGCAGGGAAGAAGCGCAAGUGACGGUACCUGCAGAAAAAGCACCGGCUAACUACGUGCCAGCCGCCGCAGUAAGAC
rnacentral:rRNA from 1 species